GCCAGACUCCUACGGGAGGCAGCAGUGGGGAAUAUUGCACAAUGAGGGGAACCCUGAUGCAGCGACGCCGCGUGGGCGAGGAAGUAUUUCGGUAUGUAAAGCCCUAUCGGCAGGGAAGAAGAAAUGACGGUACCUGAAUAAGAAGCACCGGCUAAAUACGUGCCAGCAGCCGCGGGAAUACGUAUGGUGCAAGCGUUAUCCGGAUUUACUGGGCGUAAAGGGAGCGCAGGCGGCGCGCCAAGUCUGAUGUGAAACCCCGGGGCUCAACCCCGGGACUGCCCUUGGAACUGUGCGGCUAGAGUGCGGGAGGGGCAGGCGGAAUUCCUGGUGUAGCGGUGAAAUGCGUAGAUAUCAGGAGGAACACCGGCGGCGAAGGCGGCCUGCUGGACCGCGACUGACGUUGAGGCUCGAAAGCGUGGGGAGCGAACAGGAUUAGAUACCCGUGUAUG
rnacentral:rRNA from 1 species